ACCUGGCUGGCUUAGUUGGAAGAGCAUGAGACUUGAUCUCAGGCUUGUGAGUUCGAGCCCCAUGUUGGGUG
rnacentral:tRNA from 1 species